UGGGGAAUUUUGGACAAUGGGCGAAAGCCUGAUCCAGCAAUGCCGCGUGUGUGAAGAAGGCCUUCGGGUUGUAAAGCACUUUUGUCCGGAAAGAAAUCCUUGGCUCUAAUACAGUCGGGGGAUGACGGUACCGGAAGAAUAAGCACCGGCUAACUACGUGCCAGCAGCCGCGGUAAUACGUAGGGUGCAAGCGUUAAUCGGAAUUACUGGGCGUAAAGCGUGCGCAGGCGGUUUGCUAAGACCGAUGUGAAAUCCCCGGGCUCAACCUGGGAACUGCAUUGGUGACUGGCAGGCUAGAGUAUGGCAGAGGGGGGUAGAAUUCCACGUGUAGCAGUGAAAUGCGUAGAGAUGUGGAGAAAUACCGAUGGCGAAGGCAGCCCCCUGGGCCAAUACUGACGCUCAUGCACGAAAGCGUGGGGAGCAAACAGGAUUAGAUACCCUGGUAGUCCACGCCCUAAAACGAUGUCAACUAGUUGUUGGGGAUUCAUUUCCUUAGUAACGUAGCUAACGCGUGAAGUUGACCGCCUGGGGAGUACGGUCGCAAGAUUAAAACUCAAAGGAAUUGACGGGGUCAUAGCUGUUUCCU
rnacentral:rRNA from 1 species